AACUCUGCACUAAGAGGCCAAAAUGAGCUCUGCUUUUUAUACUCUGAUCUAGUUCAGUCUCCACACUUUACAAAUAAAGAAACCAACGACUGGAGAGGGGACGACUACAGCUGAAGUUAACAGACAUUCCACACCAAUGUCUAAUAUGAAUCUAGUGUGAAGUGCCAGCCAGAGAAGCUAAUGUGAUCUUGAGCUGCAUGAAGAGAGGCAUAGCUUCCAGGAAUAAGGAGAUGACAGUCCCUCUUUACUCUGCCCUGGCAAUGAAGAGGAGACUCAAUCCAACAAGCAUCUCUUCCUGCCAUGGACUCUCGUGCUAGGCACCAGGGAUACAAAUAACGAAGGACGAAACAAUCUCUGAGCUCCAGGAGCUCAUAGUCCAAUGGAGAGAGAACAAAUGCAUAUUGUGAACAUGAUUCUACUCUCCUUAAUCCUUUUGGGAGAAGAAGAAGGGAGCUGGCAGCACCCAGGGAAUUUCAAGGUGGCAUCAGGGAACUCUUUUUCACCAAAACAAAAGAAGGCAUAAAAAUAUCCUGCCUGUAAGAAGAUGAUGAAUUUGUUACUUUUCCUCAGUAUGAGGUAAGGAUUAGAGACCUGAAAUCCUCAGACAAAAGGUAACCUCAUGAGAUGGGGGGAUCUUAAGCUUUUCCUUUCCCCUCACUCACUGCACUGAGC
rnacentral:lncRNA from 1 species